UUACAGGUCUGCAGUCUGAUGGAGUACUGGAGCAUAAUGGAGGAGGAGGAGAAGGCUAUACAAGGGCAGCAUCAGACUUCACACUAGUAGUGAAUACGGCCAACAUGGGAGCCAAGGAAGCAAUGAAUGUUAUGGCCAAGCAUCAACUCAUUUCCCCUUCGGAAGAACACUACCAUCAUCUACAGAUAGAGGUCGAAGAACUCACUCAGCUUCCACUGGUGUCGAUGUCGAUGUACUUGGUUCGUCCACCAGUUGGGACGUGCAUGGCUGGAGCGAUAAUCCACAGUGCAACAGGCGGUAGAAGCUCACCAGAUCGGUAGACAAGACAAGAGUCAAGCAUGUGCAAUAGAUUCCACUGGGGACCACACACAAGUACUCAUCCAACUAUCAAGGGGACAAGGUUUGAAACAACUUCUUCCUUCCUACUUCAGCCAUGACAUAGGAAGAGCACUUCGUUAAUGCAAUAUUAAGACGGUGGCCAGGCAUGAUGAUUUAUCUUCAGUGAUGUAAAUUACAUGAUCCUGGGUUGCUUUCUAAACCAGGCUAGACCCCA